UUCCAACCAGUCUCUGCCAGAUCGUCCGUUCACCCAAGUGAUUCCCACUACAGCCCUGGAAGCCCAGUCUGCCUGUCUGAGCCUUGUUCUUCUCUCAAACCUGCUUCUCACCUGUCUGCCCGCUCUCAGCCCCAGGGGAUAUCCAGCACCUGCAUCACUCAUUUUUUGUGUUCAAUAAACCUCAAUACCUGUUCUGAC